rnacentral:lncRNA from 1 species
CAUUUUGGUGGAUUAGGGUUUUCACCACAUCAAUACCCAAGAUCCAUUGAGUUUGAUGAGACUUAAAGUCCAAACCAUCAUGAUCCAAGGCCAAUAGAAAUUCAUAAAAAUAUAAAAUACAAUUAAAUGAAAUAAAAUGCACCAAAAGUAUUUUUAAAUGAAUUUUAAAUAGAAAUAAAAUAAAAAAAUCCAUAAAGUCCUUCAAAAUAUCAAAUAAAUGGCCAAGAAAAUUAUGUAAGGUGAGAAAUAAA